UUAUGGCUCAGGAUGAACGCUAGCUACAGGCUUAACACAUGCAAGUCGAGGGGCAGCAUGAAGUUUGCUUGCAAACUUGAUGGCGACCGGCGCACGGGUGAGUAACGCGUAUCCAACCUUCCCCAUAGUAGAGGAUAGCCCGGCGAAAGUCGGAUUAAUACUCUAUGUUGUAUUUUGAGGACAUCUGACGAAUACCAAAGAUUGAUCGCUAUGGGAUGGGGAUGCGUCUGAUUAGGUUGUUGGCGGGGUAACGGCCCACCAAGCCGACGAUCAGUAGGGGUUCUGAGAGGAAGGUCCCCCACAUUGGUACUGAGACACGGACCAAACUCCUACGGGAGGCAGCAGUGAGGAAUAUUGGUCAAUGGGCGAGAGCCUGAACCAGCCAAGUAGCGUGCAGGAUGACUGCCCUAUGGGUUGUAAACUGCUUUUAUAGGGGAAUAAAGUCCACUACGUGUAGUGGUUUGUAUGUACCCUAUGAAUAAGGACCGGCUAAUUCCGUGCCAGCCGCUGC
rnacentral:rRNA from 1 species